rnacentral:rRNA from 1 species
UAGGCGUAAAUGAUGCGAGUUAAGUGUGGGGGCAUCUACGAGAUGGCCCUGUGCUGUAGGGUAGCCGUUAAACUCGCUGCCUGGGGAGUACGGUCGCAAGGCUGAAACUUAAGGGAAUUGGCGGGGGAGCACCACAAGAGGUGGAGGCUGCGGUUCAAUUGGACUCAACGCCGGAAAACUCAUCGGGAGCGACAGCAGUAUGAUUGCCAGGUUGAUGACCUUGCUUGACAAGCUGAGAGGAGGUGCAUGGCGUAGUCGUGU